AAAGCAUCCCCACCUUGGGGAGUAACGCCCGGGCCAACGGUGAAAACUCAAAAGGAAUUUGACCGGGGGCCCGCAACAAAGCCGGAAGGAAACAUGUUGGUUUAAUUUCGAUGAUACGCGAGGAAACCUUACCCGGGGCUUGAAACUGCAGCAGAACGAUUCAGAGAUGAUGAGGUCCUUCGGGACUGCUGUGGAGGUGCUGCAUGGUUGUCGUCAGCUCGUGCCGUGAGGUGUCGGCUUAAGUGCCAUAACGAGCGCAACCCCUUUCGUCAGUUGCCAUCAGGUCAGGCUGGGCACUCUGGCGACACUGCCACCGUAAGGUGCGAGGAAGGUGGGGAUGACGUCAAAUCAGCACGGCCCUUACGUCCGGGGCUACACACGUGUUACAAUGGGUGGUACAGAGAGUCGGGUGUACGCAAGUACGCUCCAAUCAUGAAAGCCAUCCUCAGUUCGGACUGGGGUCUGCAACCCGACCCCACGAAGCUGGAUUCGCUAGUAAUCGCGCAUCAGCCAUGGCGCGGUGAAUACGUUCCCGGGCCUUGUACACACCGCCCGUCAAGCCAUGAAAGCCUGGGGCGCCUGAAGUCCGUGACCGCGAGGGUCGGCCUAGGGUGAAACAGGUGAUUGGGGCUAAGUCGUAACAAGGUAGCCG
rnacentral:rRNA from 1 species